AAAAAGAGACGGAAGUGUUCGAACAUCUCUGCAAAGAAAUACCAGAAGAGUCCGAUGUUUGGAGUAAGAUCUGGAACAGACAGACUGUGGAAAACACACACACACACGUUAUCAUCUAAAAACAGUGAAACAUGAUAUGACUGUAGACUGACAUGAAUCCAUAAACAGAAGGGAUGAAAUCCCAAGAGCCCAGAAGAAAAAACGAGAGUCCAGUGAUGACCACCAAGCUGCCCACAUAUACGAAGACAUACUGCAGCGUGAAGAACCAAAAGCUGCUUCUCUGCAGGUUCACCGGAAUAUACAACCUCUGAAAGA